GUUGUUGUUGAAAUGAGGCCUUCUUUAUGUUAGCUUGCUGUGUGACUGAGAGAGGAGAGGUUGUUGUUGAAAUGAGGCCUUCUUUAUGUUAGCUUGCUGUGUGACUGAGAGAGGAGAGGUUGUUGUUGAAAUGAGGCCUUCUUUAUGUUAGCUUGCUGUGUGACAGAGAGGAGAGGUUGUUGUUGAAAUGAGGCCUUCUUUAUGUUAGCUUGCUGUGUGACAGAGAGGAGAGGUUGUUGUUGAAAUGAGGCCUUCUUUAUGUUAGCUUGCUGUGUGACAGAGAGGAGAGGUUGUUGUUGAAAUGAGGCCUUCUUUAUGUUAGCUUGCUGUGUGACAGAGAGGAGAGGUUGUUGUUGAAAUGAGGCCUUCUUUAUGUUAGCUUGCUGUGUGACUGAGAGAGGAGAGGUUGUUGUUGAAAUGAGGCCUUCUUUAUGUUAGCUUGCUGUGUGACAGAGAGGAGAGGUUGUUGUUGAAAUGAGGCCUUCUUUAUGUUAGCUUGCUGUGUGACUGAGAGAGGAGAGGUUGUUGUUGAAAUGAGGCCUUUAUGUUAGCUUGCUGUGUGACUGAGAGAGGAGAGGUUGUUGUUGAAAUGAGGCCUUCUUUAUGUUAGCUUGCUGUGUGACUGAGAGGAGAGGUUGUUGUUGAAAUGAGGCCUUCUUUAUGUUAGCUUGCUGUGUGACAGAGAGGAGAGGUUGUUGUUGAAAUGAGGCCUUUAUGUUAGCUUGCUGUGUGACUGAGAG